AUCAGUAGUAGUCAGUAUCAGCUCUGGAUUGUUUUUUUUUUUUUGGCGUGUUCACGCAUAUCUCUGUCAAAUAUGUACCUAUCAGUUUGGGAAAUAUUUUAUUUUCGUUUCUGGGAGAAUAUUAUAUUAUACUUCCGUAGUUCCGUAUAAGUUUGAUUAAAAUCCGAUCAUGGACUUGUAAGAUACGCCUGAUCAUGCAAUUAUUAUCAUAC